UACGUAGGGUGCAGGCGUUAAUCGGAAUUACUGGGCGUAAAGCGUGCGCAGGCGGUUUGCUAAGACAGGUGUGAAAUCCCCGGGCUUAACCUGGGAACUGCGCUUGUUACUGGCAAGCUAGAGUGUGGCAGAGGGGGGUGGAAUUCCAGGUGUAGCAGUGAAAUGCGUAGAGAUCUGGAGGAACACCGAUGGCGAAGGCAGUCCCCUGGGCUAACACCUGGACGCUCAUGCACGAAAGCGUGGGGAGCAAACAGG
rnacentral:rRNA from 1 species